AGAGUUUGAUCCUGGCUCAGAAUCAACGCUGGCGGCAUGCCUAACACAUGCAAGUCGAGCGAGAAAGUGUAGCAAUACAUGAGUAAAGCGGCGCACGGGUGAGUAACACGUGGAUAACCUGCCUCAAAGUGGGGAAUAACACCGGGAAACCGGUGCUAAUACCGCAUAUUCUGACGAGAUCUGCGGAUUUCGGCAGGAAAGGAGCAAUUCGCUAUGAGAGGGGUCCGCGGCUGAUUAGCUAGUUGGUGAGGUAAUGGCUCACCAAGGCCACGAUCAGUAGCCGGUCUGAGAGGACGGUCGGCCACACUGGAACUGAGACACGGUCCAGACUCCUACGGGAGGCAGCAGUGGGGAAUUUUUCGCAAUGGGGGCAACCCUGACGAAGCAAUGCCGCGUGGAUGAUGAAGUCUCUUGGGACGUAAAAUCCUUUCGACAGGGACGAAACCGCAAGGUGACGGUACCUUGAAGAAGCCCCCGA
rnacentral:rRNA from 1 species